rnacentral:rRNA from 1 species
AGAGUUUGAUCAUGGCUCGAGGACGAACGCUGGCGGCGUGCCUAACACAUGCAAGUCGAACGGAACUACUAGGAAGGAUUCCUUCGGGGAGACGGAAUUUUAGUUUAGUGGCGGACGGGUGAGUAACGCGUGAGUAACCUGCCUUUGAGAGGGGAAUAACGUUCUGAAAAGAACGCUAAUACCGCAUAACAUAUAUUGAUCGCAUGGUCGGUAUAUCAAAGAUUUUAUCGCUCAAAGAUGGACUCGCGUCCGAUUAGCUAGUUGGCGGGGUAACGGCCCACCAAGGCGACGAUCGGUAGCCGGACUGAGAGGUUGAACGGCCACAUUGGGACUGAGACACGGCCCAGACUCC